AGCCGCUGAUGACUCUCAACAUUUUUCUGACACCUUCUAUGAGCGCUGCGCUGCAGUCGUUGAUUAUAAAUUUAACUCUGAGGCUU